ensembl:lncRNA
GGAGAGCGGCGGCGGGAGGCAGGCUCGCGCGGAGAGGAGGUGCAGCGCCGGAGACCGCCCCGCGCCGCGAAUUCGGUCCUGGGUCUCUGCAAUGAUUAAUCCGGUGAGUGUAUGAACUCACUCUGUCACAGCUGCGUGCUGAUCGUGGCCUGGCCCUGCUGAAAGCUGCUCUGCGCUCCAGGAAUGGCGGCACAAAACCAGGAUCCACAACCGAACCUUGCAAUGGUAUCCCCUGAGAAUGAUGGAGAAAAGGAACCAAGUGUCUGGAAAGAUCCGCUGCUGCCCCAAAAACAAGCAGACACCUGCCAAGUGCUGCAUAUUCCUAUGCCUUUGCUCCUCCAGCAGCCAAUAGCUGAAAAGCUCCAAAGCAAAAUAGAGCGGGUGUUCCCAUGUGCGACGCCGACAAGCCGUGCAAGAACUGUGCUGGACACCACUGCGGCCACCAGGAAUGUGACGUCCUCAGCCUGCAUGCACGGAGAACACUGGGAACCAUGGGGACCUGGGAGAAGUGAGACGUCUUUUGUUGAAAUAAUCCAUUCAGUUUGGGACUGGAUAUACCUGUGCCUUUGCAUGCGUGUUCCUGGCUCUCAGCUCUGCAGCUGCUGUUGUCCUGCUGCCCCUGGUGCUCUCGGGGCAGCUCGUCCCUUUGCAGUGUCUGUGGUUUUCCAUGGAACCGCUCUCUGCGGUGCAGCCGUCGUCGCCGUAUCUGUUUCCAUCCCCCCCCUCCGGGCGCUGUACUUCAACCAAGUGAAACAGAUGUGGUUUGCAGAGCAAAAUCUCUGCAGCGGAUCAUUUCUCUGUAGCAGAGAACUGGAGCCCUUGGCAGAGAUUCCCCUUCCACCAGCACGGCUCACACAGAUUGCGGGUUGUUUCCGCAGCCAGCGAGCUGCGUGUGCUGCAGAUCCAGCUGUGGGACCGCGCGUGUUUGGGCGACUGGGAGGAACCUCAGUGCCCUGCUCUGUGCACGUCAGCGUGAUCUGCAGCGCACAACAGAUGUCUUAAUAAAAGAACCAGGAUGUUUUCUUCUAUCAUCUUUCAGAAAAUCUGUUUGCAUGUGUUUUAUUACUCCAGCUACAUAUCUUAGAAGCAGUUUCCCCAUUAAAAUUAUUUGAAAAGGACUCUUCUUGCCUUGAAUUUAGACAUGCCUUAAGCAUAUCCCAGAAAUGGAGGGAAUUAUUCCCUUUACUCCACGUUAGGAAAGCUGGAGGUUGCUGUGCCUCUCUUUUUCAAUGGCUCCAUUGCUGCAAACUUGUAUCCUCACUGGCUGUGACGCACAGCUCCAUUCAUUUCCUGUAGCUCUUCCCCUGGUCAGUACCUCUGGCUUUGCUCUCAGUAAGAACAUGCCAGUGGAUUGGCCUCCACUGGUUGAAGGGCUCCCGGGGGCUGUGUCAGUAAUCCAAACCCUGUGGAUUUAUAAGAUGGAUUUAUAUUUUUGACUGUAAAUGCCACAAGAAAUUAGGCAGCUUCCUCUGACACUCAGACCAAGACAGUAGAUUUUCUUGUACGUCCACCAAUAAGGCACCCAUUUGCACAAAGCUCCCUUCAGGCAGCCGGCUGUGCAUGUCCACUGCGUACAGCAUGCUAUACAAACUUCUGUUUUAAAAUAACUGCAAGAAAAAUAAAUGUUCAAAGCUGUGUGUAAAAUUUCUGUUU